rnacentral:rRNA from 1 species
UACGGAGGGUGCAAGCGUUGCUCGGAAUCAUUGGGCGUAAAGAGCGCGUAGGCGGCCCGGUAAGUCCGCUGUAAAAGUCCAGGGCUCAACCCUGGAAAGCCGGUGGAUACUGUCGGGCUAGAGUCCGGAAGAGGCGAGUGGAAUUCCUGGUGUAGCGGUGGAAUGCGCAGAUAUCAGGAGGAACACCGAUGGCGAAGGCAGCUCGCUGGGACGGUACUGACGCUGAGGCGCGAAAGCGUGGGGAGCGAACAGG